rnacentral:pre_miRNA from 1 species
ACCCAAAUCGUUUGGGAGUCUUGUUAAAAUGCACAUUCUGACUCUCUGGGUCUGAGGUAGAGCCCAGAAUUCUGCAUUUUUAACAAUUCCCAGAUGGUGCUGAU